CGAAGGCAGGUCUCUGGGCUGUAACUGACGCUGAGGAGCGAAAGCAUGGGGAGCGAACAGGAUUAGAUACCCUGSUAGUCCAUGCCGUAMACGUUGGGCACUAGGUGUGGGGACCAUUCCACGGUUUCCGCGCCGCAGCUAACGCAUUAAGUGCCCCGCCUGGGGAGUACGGCCGCAAGGCUAAAACUCAAAGGAAUUGACGGGGGCCCGCACAAGCGGCGGAGCAUGCGGAUUAAUUMGAUGCAACGCGAAGAACCUUACCAAGGCUUGACAUGUUCUCGAUCGCCGUAGAGAUACGGUUUCCCCUUUGGGGCGGGUUCACAGGUGGUGCAUGGUUGUCGUCAGCUCGUGUCGUGAGAUGUUGGGUUAAGUCCCGCAACGAGCGCAACCCUCGUUCCAUGUUGCCAGCACGUCGUGGUGGGGACUCAUGGGAGACUGCCGGGGUCAACUCGGAGGAAGGUGAGGACGACGUCAAAUCAUCAUGCCCCUUAUGUCUUGGGCUUCACGCAUGCUACAAUGGCCGGUACAAUGGGUUGCGAUACUGUGAGGUGGAGCUAAUCCCAAAAAGCCGGUCUCAGUUCGGAUUGGGGUCUGCAACUCGACCCCAUGAAGUCGGAGUCGCUAGUAAUCGCAGAUCAGCAACGCUGCGGUGAAUACGUUCCCGGGCCUUG
rnacentral:rRNA from 1 species